rnacentral:rRNA from 1 species
UGACAGGACCAUCAACCACACUGGGACUGAUACACGGCCCACACCCCUACGGGAGGCAGCAGUGGGCAAUUCUCCUCCAUGCGCGAAAGCCUGACAGAGCACGACCGCGUGUGGAAGGAAGGUCCUUCCGUCCUAAACCGCUUUUCUUAGGGAAGAAGCUCUGACGGUACCUAAGGAAUCAGCCUCGGCAAACUCCGUGCCGGCUACCGCCGUAAUACGAACGAGGCAAGCCUUCUCCAGAAUUAUCGGGCCUAACCCGACCGCAAGCUGCUUACCAAAUCUGCUGUCAAAUACCAGAGCUCAACUCUGGGUCGAAAGUCGAAACUGACAAGCUAGAUUUCAGUCGGGGUAGAGGGCAUUCCCAUUGUAGCGGAUGAAAUGCGUACAGAGUGGGAAGAACACCAGUGGAGAAAGCGCUCUACUGGGCUGUAACUGACGCUGAGUGAUGAAAGCUAGGGUAGCGAAAGUGAUUAGAUAGACCUGUAGUCUUAGCUGUAAACGAUGGAGACUAGGCGUGGCUCGUAUCGACCCGAGCCGUGCCGAAGUCAACGCGUUAAGUCUCCCGCCUGGGGAGUACGCAUGCAAGUGUGAAACUCAAAGGAAUUGACGGGGGUCCGCACAAGCGGUGGAGUAUGUGGUUUAAUUCGAUGAAACGCGAAGAACCUUACCAAGGCUUGACAUCCCGCGAAUCUUGGUGAAAACUGGGUGUGUCUUCGGGAGCGCGGAGACAGGUGGUGCAUAGCUGUCGUCAGCUCGUGUCGUGAGAUGUUGGGUUUAGUCCCGCAAAGAGCGCAACCCUUGUCCUUAGUUGACAGCAUUCAGUUGGGCACUCUAGGGAGACUGCCGGUGCCAAAUCGGUGGAAGGUGGGGAUGACGUCA